rnacentral:rRNA from 1 species
AUCUUCCGCAAUGGACGAAAGUCUGACGGAGCAACGCCGCGUGAGUGAUGAAGGCUUUCGGGUCGUAAAACUCUGUUGUUAGGGAAGAACAAGUGCUAGUUGAAUAAGCUGGCACCUUGACGGUACCUAACCAGAAAGCAACGGCUAACUACGUGCCAGCAGCCGCGGUAAUACGUAGAUGGCAAGCGUUAUCCGGAAUUAUUGGGCGUAAAGCGCGCGCAGGUGGUUGCGUAAGUCUGAUGGGACAGCCCACGGCUCAACCGUGGAGGGUCAUGAGAAACUGGGAGACUUGAGUGCAGAAGAGGAAAGUGGAAUUCCAUGUGUAGCGGUGAAAUGCGUAGAGAUAUGGAGGAACACCAGUGGCGAAGGCGACUUUCUGGUCUGUAACUGACACUGAGGCGCGAAAGCGUGGGGAGCAAACAG